rnacentral:rRNA from 1 species
AGAGUUUGAUCAUGGCUCAGAUUGAACGCUGGCGGCAUGCCUUACACAUGCAAGUCGAACGGUAACGCGGGGCAACCUGGCGACGAGUGGCGAACGGGUGAGUAAUGCAUCGGAACGUGCCCAGUAGUGGGGGAUAGCCCGGCGAAAGCCGGAUUAAUACCGCAUACGACCUACGGGUGAAAGGGGGGGAUCGCAAGACCUCUCGCUAUUGGAGCGGCCGAUGUCAGAUUAGGUAGUUGGUGGGGUAAAGGCCUACCAAGCCGACGAUCUGUAGCUGGUCUGAGAGGACGACCAGCCACACUGGGACUGAGACACGGCCCAGACUCCUACGGGAGGCAGCAGUGGGGAAUUUUGGACAAUGGGCGCAAGCCUGAUCCAGCCAUGCCGCGUGCGGGAAGAAGGCCUUCGGGUUGUAAACCGCUUUUGUCAGAGAAGAAAUCUUCUGGGUUAAUACCUCGGGAGGAUGACGGUACCUGAAGAAUAAGCACCGGCUAACUACGUGCCAGCAGCCGCGGUAAUACGUAGGGUGCAAGCGUUAAUCGGAAUUACUGGGCGUAAAGCGUGCGCAGGCGGUUAUGCAAGACAGAUGUGAAAUCCCCGGGCUCAACCUGGGAACUGCAUUUGUGACUGCAUAGCUAGAGUGCGGCAGAGGGGGAUGGAAUUCCGCGUGUAGCAGUGAAAUGCGUAGAUAUGCGGAGGA